CCCAGGUUUCCCAGCUGCCCCUACUCAGUGAUCAGGAUUGAGCACAGACAGCUCACCAUGGAGGUUAUGCUUAGCUGGGUUUUCCUUGUUGCUGUACUAAAAGGUGCCCAGGCUGAGGUGCCGCUGGUGGAGUCCGGGGGAGACUUGGUGCAGCCUGGAGAGUCCCUGAAACUCUCCUGUGAAGCCUCAGGAUUCACCUUCAGUAGCUACUGGAUGAGCUGGAUCUGCCAGGCUCCAGGAAAGGGGCUGGAGUGGGUUGGAAACAUUAACACAAAUGGUGGUAGUGCAUACUACCCAGAUUCCGUGAAGGGCCGAUUCACCAUCUCCAGAAACAAUGCCAAGAACACUCUGCAUCUGCAAAUGAACAGCCUGAGAACUAAGGACAUGGCCAUGUAUUACUGUGCAAGAGACACAGUGAGGGGACCUCAGUGUGACCCCAGACACAAACCUCCCUGCAGGGGCAUUCAGAGCCAGUAGGGGGCGUUGGGGAUACAGAGAGAACCAAGAUGUUUUCUUGUUAGGAUCUGAGUCUUCUUUUCAACAUAAUA